UGCAGAGGAAAGGGUUGGCAGAGAGGCUCCAAGUCAAAAAAACAAGGGAAGAACAGCAGAAACUGUAUCCUCUUUAAAGUCCAGGUUAUAACAAUGUUGGUAUGUUGUAUAACUCUGAGCAGUUGUCUGGGUGUAACCAAAUGUAUCCCAGCACUACCACUAUGUCAGGGUUCCCUCCCCACUCUGAACUAUAGGGUACAGAUGUGAGGAUCCGCAUGAAAGACUCCCUAAGUUUAUCUCUACCAGCUUAGGUUA